CUAAUCUAACGUCUCCACGACGAUAGAUCACUCAAGCGGAUUCUCGUUCAAUUAGGCAUAAUAGCACUUCCUUUCUCUAAAAAGGCUAAUAAGGCAAGCCAUAGGUAUGACAGAUCACUCGAGGGUUUCUCAUUCAAUUAGAAAUAAUAGCAUUUCCUUCAAUUAGGGACCGUUUAAUGUAUUGUUAAAAGUCUCCGCUUAUAAUCGGAUUGUCCGAUCCAAUUUUCCAUUAGUCCAACAGCCCACUCUUCUUCACAUGGAAAUAGCCCUUAAUCGCGAGCCGCAAAAUCUAGCCGCACCAAGACACCACGCUGCCGCAACCCUAAUGUGGACGCCAGAAUCGUGGUGCUCUCCUUCUAGACCUUCGCCGAGGCCUGAGGCGCUCGUCUCAGAUCGCCGCAGGCGGGCCGACGCUACCCAGUCGAAGGACACGUCCGCUAGCCUGUGGUCACCAACUCGCCAUGACCAGCCUCCAUCUCAUCUUCAAUCAUGUGCCUGGCGUUCUAUUCGGAGGUGGGCGUCAGCCGAUCUGCAUAUCUGAACAUGGCAGGCCAUCGACGUCGCGUGGCGCCCAGGCCGAGGCUGGAUUCCCGAACCGACUGAUCACGGAUGCCCGGCCUUACGUGAGGUCGUGAGAUAAGAUGAGCAGCUCCACUAAAUUCGUGGUGUUCAUGCCCCACUUCAUAUCUCCAAUCCAAAGAGAAUCAAAUCAAAUAACAGAGGAUCAAUCCGUGUGCACCGAUUUUCCGGCAAAAAAGUCUACUUCAUACGUUGAUUUGCAUCGACCUCGCCAGGGUCGAUCCUCCCCACAUGCAUCGACCUCGCCAGAUCCUCCCCUGCCUUGCGCUCCACCGGCGCCUGCACUCGCCUUAGAUGAAAGGAGCCGCGAGGUGCAAGAGCUUUAAGCAGCUCGUCAUGCAAUACCAUGAGCAGCAAGAUCUGUGUCCGCUGCUGCUAGCCGGCGUCCCCAUGACUAGCCCAGGUUCAUGUAGCAUGUCAGUGCGGCUGAGCGUCAUUUGCCGACAUGUGCACGCGAUGCACAAGUGAGUGAAGCAUCAACGAGUUUGACAUGGUAUGCAUUGAAUCAUUGAAUCAUUGAUGCAUGAUAUGAGACUUUAUCGGUUCAGUUGAGUAUGUCUAUUUUUUCUUGUCUAGCAAUUUUUGCACUUUGAUGUUUCAGUUAGAGCCUUUCAGUUACCAAAGAAUCAGAGAUAUUUGGGAAUCUACAAAAGAACAAAACACACUAUCAGCCAGCCAACGUAUGUAACUGGAUUUACUGGUUGGUUCAAAUAUCAUCAUAUUAUUUUUCUUGUUGUUGAUGUUAGAAAUGCUCAUAAUUUAAUUAGCAUUGGAGAAUAUAUAGCUUAGUAGUUUUUGCUCACUUGAUCAGUUAUUUAUUUUUCUGUCCAUCAAUUUAGAUAUAUGAGCUUCAGUCACUCUUCGCUCUGCCCAGGAAGUCAUACGCGCUCUUUCGUACCUGAAUAUGACAUUAGAGAUAAUGCUUGAGUAUCACCCAUUGGUUGGACUUCGUAUGAGGUAGGAGUCCCAUGAAGUGUCUUCGGUAUCUCGCUUGUCUCCCAGUUAAUGAAUUGGAUUCCAAAUCCAAAUAUAAUGCUUGAAGAUAUUCUGAUUUGACCCAUUGUAGAAAUUUGUCAUGUUCAUGAGUUUCUUCUGUUUGCCGCAUGGUGUACCACCCACUGGUUGAAUUUCAUAUAGGUUCAAUGUCGUGAUCUCCACUUCGAGUUUCAGAAUCCUAUGAAUCAAAGCGGUGGUGCGUGAGUACAAGCAAAUACCAAAUUAUACAAGAACUUGCUGGUCUUCGGAGAUCUGACAAGGCCCCGGUAAUAAUUGCUACCACACAUGUGGAAGCUACAAACACAUCACAUCCAUGAAGCAAAAUGUGUUUACAAAUUCCUGUGUAUAGAUUUUUUUGGACAGUGCCCAUGUUGGUAAGCAAUGGUAAAGUUGUCUUUGAAGUUCAGCUUUUUUCUGCCGCCUUUGACAUUUGCUGAAAAUUUUACUCACAGAUCCAGUUGAUCUAACUAUUGUCAUACUUGAAUAUAUCUGGUUCAUGAAGGAACAUUCAUACAUUUUUCCUGAUUUCAAUAUGUCAAGCACAAUUCAAACGGAUUUUUUGUGGCCAUAUUCUGAUGAUCAUUACUUGCCAUACAUAAUAAUUCAAAUGGUUCCAAAUUGUUUCCUCUAUUUCUUCCGCGGAGUUUAUGCCCCAUGUACUAUUGUCCUUUUACCUUCUCCUGGAUACCUUUUUUAUUUCCCAAGUUUAAUGAAAGGUGAUGAUGGGCAGACAUGCAUCAGGGAAGAGUAGGCUUUAGUGGAGCGUGGAGGUAAUGAUGUGAAUUUCCUUGUUUCAGCUGCAACUAUUGGACUGCUUCAGCUCUUAUCAGGCGAUGUCACUAGAUACAAAGUUAAAUAUACUCCAUCAAUUUACAUAUAUAAUGCCACAAACUCACUUUUCAUCUAUGAAAUAAACACAACAAACUAUAGUUACUUAUGUGGGAGUGGUCUCAUGUUAUGAGCUAAUUAAGCAUAUUGCAUGUGAUGCAUCUUUAUGUAUGGAUGCAUGCAACUUUCACAUUAAUAUAAACAUCAUCAUGAGAGGUAGAAAUCUAAUCAAUUUUGACAAUUAGCAAUGGCUACAAAAAGAUUUUUUUCUACUGCUGAAUCCAUGAGCAGACAAGAAACAACGUGGCACCAUAAUCAGUGGGUUUGAGACAAGUGUUACCGCUAUUGAAAAUACAUCUUGCUAUCUAUUUUUUUGAUGCAAUAUGUCUUUGUUAUCCAUUGUACAGUUUUUCUGCUUUUACUUAGAUUAUUUCACAUCUGAGAAAAUAAACUUGAGGACCGUAGCAACCCACGGGCAUUCAACUAGUUUCAAUUAACUAGGGAGUGAUAUUUUGGCUCUUGGGUGCAUAUGCUCCCUUCAUUUUAAAGUGCAUCUUUGAUACAUUUUGAAAUGAUAAAGAAUUUCAAACGAAAAAAUUCAUAUGUACAUAUACACAUGCUACAUGCGAAUAAAGUCUUUCCAUGAAAAAUCGACUUGUCGUUUGGGUUGUGUAAAAAGAAUUGGUGCUAAAAAUAUUUGUGAGACAUGUUUUAUCUUUUUUACAUAGAUUAUCGAGAUUUACGUGCAAAAUUUUAUGUAGAAUUUUUUUGACAAUUAGAUAUAUGUUAUUUGGAUGGAGGGAGCAUGUGCACCCGAGAGCCGAACUGAUUUUUCGCUCUUGGGCAAGCAAGCUUGAAGAAUAUUAUGAAUCCCAGCUCACUUUGCUCUUAAGUGUUGACUACUAGAUUUUGAUGGAGGCUAAAACACCAAGAGGUGCGUCGAGGACGUGGAGAUCAAUUUUAGCUGGAAGGGAGGCUUUGAAA